ACGUUUUUAAGACUGUGACAGUAGUAAAUUCGCGUGUGGCACUGUAGCGUCCUCUUAAAAUAGAUUUGUAUAUUCGUUAUUGUGUUACUACAAACGUAAUAUCAAACUCAUAAAGUUUAGUUAAAAUUUAACAUUAUAAAUACGCGUAAACUUGCAUAAUGUAAAAUCGUGAAAUAUAAUAAUAUAAUUAUUGUCAUAUCUAUAAAUAUUAUAUUAUACAGGUUAUUGUAUGAAUUGUGAAAUACGAAUUAAACACAUUCGCGUCCGUGUAUAAUAUUGAAAAUCGCAGUAGGUUCAUAUGCUUAUAAUAUUAUUAGGACUAGAAAUGUAAUGUUCUAUAAAACACUAAAAACCGCUUGUAUGUCCUAAAUAUUCUAAAUAAAACAUAAAAGAAAAUGAUUUAAAAAUAUUUCUAUUUUCUUGACAAAACUCAAAUUAUUGAACUUAAGACUUUUAAUCUAAAAACUCGUACUAAACGGUAUUUUAUUUCUCUAAGAAAUUAUUUGAACAGGAAAUUUCAGCCCCGAUAAUAUAAAACGAAUUAAUAGUUUGUUAGAUACAUAUACAUUUUAACGUGUACCUAAGAUUUGAAAUAAAAUGUCAAAUUUGAAUGUUGAAUUUAAAUCCUU